UACGGGGGGGGCAAGCGUUGUUCGGAAUUACUGGGCGUAAAGGGUUCGUAGGUGGCCGACUAAGUCAGACGUGAAGUCCCUCAGCUCAACUGGGGAACUGCGUCUGAGACUGGCCGGCUUGAGUGCAGGAGAGGAACGCGGAAUUCCAGGUGUAGCGGUGAAAUGCGUAGAUAUCUGGAGGAACACCGGUGGCGAAGGCGGCGUUCUGGACUGCAACUGACACUGAGGAACGAAAGCCAGGGGAGCAAACGGG
rnacentral:rRNA from 1 species